AUGAACGCUGGCGGCGUGCCUAAUCCAUGCAAGUCGAGCGAACAGACGAGGAGCUUGCUCCUCUGACGUUAGCGGCGGACGGGUGAGUAACACGUGGAUAACCUACCUAUAAGACUGGGAUAACUUCGGGAAACCGGAGCUAAUACCGGAUAAUAUAUUGAACCGCAUGGUUCAAUAGUGAAAGACGGUUUUGCUGUCACUUAUAGAUGGAUCCGCGCCGCAUUAGCUAGUUGGUAAGGUAACGGCUUACCAAGGCAACGAUGCGUAGCCGACCUGAGAGGGUGAUCGGCCACACUGGAACUGAGACACGGUCCAGACUCCUACGGGAGGCAGCAGUAGGGAAUCUUCCGCAAUGGGCGAAAGCUUGACGGAGCAACGCCGCGUGAGUGAUGAAGGUCUUCGGAUCGUAAAACUCUGUUAUUAGGGAAGAACAAAUGUGUAAGUAACUAUGCACGUCUUGACGGUACCUAAUCAGAAAGCCACGGCUAACUAUGUG
rnacentral:rRNA from 1 species